rnacentral:rRNA from 1 species
GACGUAGGGUGCGAGCGUUGUCCGGAUUUAUUGGGCGUAAAGAGCUCGUAGGCGGCUCGUCGCGUCGACCGUGAAAACCCGCGGCUUAACCGCGGGCUUGCGGUUGAUACGGGCGGGCUAGAGUUCGGUAGGGGAGACUGGAAUUCCUGGUGUAGCGGUGAAAUGCGCAGAUAUCAGGAGGAACACCGGUGGCGAAGGCGGGUCUCUGGGCCGAUACUGACGCUGAUGCGCGAAAGCGUGGGGAGCGAACAGG